rnacentral:lncRNA from 1 species
CUAGAUUCAUCAGUGGUGUUAGAUGGGUGAGGAGGGACAGGUUUUCCUUUUGUUACUUGUUUGUUUUUUCCUGUCACGAACUGGAUGAAGAAUCAGCCUACUGAGGGUCUCCACGGAGGUUAAGCAGCAGCCAGUAUUGAGCUAGUAUCCGCUAUCCUUUGGAUCUCCGAUGUCCUUAGAGGCCCAUUGGUAUUUGUCACAGUGAUGAAAAGCUAACACAGAUCCCUCCCCCACUCUUUAAAGAGAAGCACACAAAAUGUUACCUUUGAUUUUGAACUUGGAGAAAAUGUCAGAUAAAUAGGUACAUUGAAAAUAGUCAAGCAGAAGAGUAGUCACUAUUUUACUUGAAUGUGAAGAAUCAUUCAGCUAAUGAACUGCGGUUUACCAAAAGCAAUUUUUCUAAGUAUAAUUUGCUGGAAGCACAGUUCUAAGACAUGGACAUACACCACUUGAAUGCUAUUUGAUUCUUGCUGGCUGUUUAAAGGUCAUAUCAAGUAAUACAAGCAGGAACAAAAAUUCCAGUUCUGACAUUUGAUGUGAGUUUGAAGAAAGUGACUUCUUUGGGGGCUUCAUAAAGAGGUUUAGUGAUCGCUACAAAACCAGGAAUCCAAAUUCUACAGAAGCUGGUCACCCCAAGAAACUCCCUCAGCUGUCUCUUAUCUUGUUCAUCUUCCCUCUUAGCCUGUUCCUUCUCUCUUGCUGACUCUCUAUUCACAUACACUUUCCUAGCCAAUUGUAGCAACUGUGUUAUAUUCAUACCCUCCCAAGUUUCUUGCUUUUGAAUUUGCCUUCUAAUAUCCUGAGCUGACUGGGUCACAAAGUCAUAUUGAUUAACUGGUGGUUAUCAGGAACAGCAGGAUCAAAUGGUGUAUACAUUCUGUAAACUUUACAGAACUACUCAUAAAAUCUCUCAGGGCUCCCAUUGGGCUCCUACGAUGUUUCUAGCACUUUAAUCAUAUUUGUAGGCCUUUUACUCAUGGCUCGUAUCCCUGCCAGGAGGGCCAUCUGAUAAUUGCUUAAGCUGUCCUGGCCUCCUGGGGUGUUGGGGUUCCAAUCGGGCUGUUCAUUCACUGGAAAUUGCUGUUCAUGUCAAGCAUCUGGAUUUUGUGUGCCUGCUGGCAUUCUAGGAGCAUUGAUCUUUUUAAUUUCUCCUAAAACUGUAUUUCUUUAGAAGUUAACAAAGUUCUUUACAGUCCUCCCAAUUAGGACAAUGGGUAGCAAAGAUGGAAUCAAAUAAUUGAAGCAUUUUGGAGGGGUCUUGGCAGAGAAUAAAUGACCUUCUUUUUCUCUAGA